GGCUUGAUAGCACAGUUGGUUAGUGCGUCCCUUAAACUUGCACACGUUAUAACCGUCUAUUGCGGAGAAGAUCCCCGUUCGAUCCGGGGUCAGGCCA